UACGUAGGUGGCAAGCGUUGUCCGGAUUUACUGGGCGUAAAGAGCGCGCAGGCGGUCGUUCAAGUCGCGUGUGAAAGCCCCCGGCUCAACUGGGGAGGGUCACGCGAUACUGAUCGACUCGAAGGCAGGAGAGGGUAGUGGAAUUCCCGGUGUAGUGGUGAAAUGCGUAGAUAUCGGAAGGAACACCGGUGGCGAAAGCGGCGCGCUGGAUCCCUACUGACGCUGAGGCACGAAAGCCAGGGGAGCAAACGGG
rnacentral:rRNA from 1 species